ensembl:lncRNA
UACACCAUGAGAAGAGGCCCGAACCCCAGAUACAGACAGGGUCUGAUUUUGAACAGACUUUAUUAAUCUCUUGUGACAUGAUGAGCUGCCCCCCGGAUGGGGAUUGCUAUGUACUGACAAGCCCAGUGUUGAAGGAUGAUGAGUGGUAUUGGACUCACCUGAAUACAGGAGGGAACACUAUGUUCCCCUCACACCAUUUUCCCAACGAUGUGAAUAGGUGGAGAUGUUAUGAUGAUGAUUAUUGUGCUGUUAACAUUUCCAAACCUCUAGGAGUAAUCCAGGAUUACUGGUGUUUCAGUGCCAUCGAGGGUACCACUCCUUGCAGACCACCUGACUUCCCUAAAGAUGCUCCAGGAGCCACACAGAGUUUAGGACAAAGUGAUUGUCCCACCACGACUCAAGCCAACUUCACGGCUCUAGGAGCUUUGCCGGAGCAGGUCUAUAUAGUCUGUGGUGGGAAUUCCUAGGGACACAGGUGGAGUAUGUUACAUGGCGUUCUUGGUCCCUUUGAUUAGGCGGGCUGACCACGGGGAAAUGGGAGCUUUACAUCUAUCCCAAGCUCGCCGUAAGCGAACACUUACUAGAACUCAACGUAUAUUCAGUGUGUUGAUCCCAGGAUAUGGCACAUACACCUCACAGGCAGAGAUAAUGGCCCUGUCCAAAGUGUUGGAGAAACACAUGAAUUUGACCAGUGAUACCAUUGCAGCAAUAGGCAUGGAGUUAAGUGAAACCCGCUCAGUUGCUUUGCAGAAUAGGAUGGCAUUAGAUUUGAUUUUGGCUUCUCAGGGCGGUGUCUGUAAGGUGGUGGGAUCCGAGUGUUGUACGUACAUUUCAGAUGCAUCACAAAAGGUAAAUGAUUUGGUACAAGAGACUAAGGAAGGUGUAGAAAUACUUCAUACAGUUGGGACCCAUUCUCAGGGUUGACUUCUAUGAUUGGUCCCUGGGGGAUGACAAUAUACAAGUUAUUGACUACUGCCUUAGCCGCUAUUGCCCUAUUGGCUGUUUGUGGUAUAUUCUUGUCUUGUUUAAUCAAACUAUGUGUUUCUAAAUUUGCCACACAGGUAUUGGUCCAGGAACGUGUAAAUGGGGAGUUAGACAUUUCGGAG